GAUGAACGCUGGCGGCGUGCCUAAUACAUGCAAGUCGAGCGAACGGACGAGAAGCUUGCUUCUCUGAUGUUAGCGGCGGACGGGUGAGUAACACGUGGAUAACCUACCUAUAAGACUGGGAUAACUUCGGGAAACCGGAGCUAAUACCGGAUAAUAUUUUGAACCGCAUGGUUCAAAAGUGAAAGACGGUCUUGCUGUCACUUAUAGAUGGAUCCGCGCUGCAUUAGCUAGUUGGUAAGGUAACGGCUUACCAAGGCAACGAUGCAUAGCCGACCUGAGAGGGUGAUCGGCCACACUGGAACUGAGACACGGUCCAGACUCCUACGGGAGGCAGCAGUAGGGAAUCUUCCGCAAUGGGCGAAAGCCCGACGGAGCAACGCCGCGUGAGUGAUGAAGGUCUUCGGAUCGUAAAACUCUGUUAUUAGGGAAGAACAUAUGUGUAAGUAACUGUGCACAUCUUGACGGUACCUAAUCAGAAAGCCACGGCUAACUACGUGCCAGCAGCCGCGGUAAUACGUAGGUGGCAAGCGUUAUCCGGAAUUAUUGGGCGUAAAGCGCGCGUAGGCGGUUUUUUAAGUCUGAUGUGAAAGCCCACGGCUCAACCGUGGAGGGUCAUUGGAAACUGGAAAACUUGAGUGCAGAAGAGGAAAGUGGAAUUCCAUGUGUAGCGGUGAAAUGCGCAGAGAUAUGGAGGAACACCAGUGGCGAAGGCGACUUUCUGGUCUGUAACUGACGCUGAUGUGCGAAAGCGUGGGGAUCAAACAGGACUAGAUACCCUGGUAGUCCACGCCGUAAACGAUGAGUGCUAAGUGUUAGGGGGUUUCCGCCCCUUAGUGCUGCAGCUAACGCAUUAAGCACUCCGCCUGGGGAGUACGACCGCAAGGUUGAAACUCAAAGGAAUUGACGGGGACCCGCACAAGCGGUGGAGCAUGUGGUUUAAUUCGAAGCAACGCGAAGAACCUUACCAAAUCUUGACAUCCUUUGACAACUCUAGAGAUAGAGCUUUCCCCUUCGGGGGACAAAGUGACAGGUGGUGCAUGGUUGUCGUCAGCUCGUGUCGUGAGAUGUUGGGUUAAGUCCCGCAACGAGCGCAACCCUUAAGCUUAGUUGCCAUCAUUAAGUUGGGCACUCUAAGUUGACUGCCGGUGACAAACCGGAGGAAGGUGGGGAUGACGUCAAAUCAUCAUGCCCCUUAUGAUUUGGGCUACACACGUGCUACAAUGGACAAUACAAAGGGCAGCGAAACCGUGAGGUCAAGCAAAUCCCAUAAAGUUGUUCUCAGUUCGGAUUGUAGUCUGCAACUCGACUACAUGAAGCUGGAAUCGCUAGUAAUCGUAGAUCAGCAUGCUACGGUGAAUACGUUCCCGGGUCU
rnacentral:rRNA from 1 species